rnacentral:rRNA from 1 species
GAUGAACGCUGGCGGCGUGCCUAAUACAUGCAAGUCGAGCGAACAGAUGAGGAGCUUGCUCCUCUGACGUUAGCGGCGGACGGGUGAGUAACACGUGGAUAACCUACCUAUAAGACUGGGAUAACUUCGGGAAACCGGAGCUAAUACCGGAUAAUAUAUUGAACCGCAUGGUUCAAUAGUGAAAGACGGUGUUGCUGGCACGUAUAGAUGGAUCCGCGCCGCAUUAGCUAGUUGGUAAGGUAAAGGCUUACCAAGGGAACGAUGCGUAGCCGACCUGUGAGGGUGAUCGCCCACCCUGGAACUGAGACGCGGUCCAGACUCCUGCGGGAGGCAGCAGUAGGGAAUCUUCCGCAGUGGGCGAAAGCCUGACGGAGCAACGCCGCGUGAGUGAUGAAGGUCUUCGGAUCGUAAAACUCUGUUAUUAGGGAAGAACAAAUGUGUAAGUAACUAUGCACGUCUUGACGGUACCUAAUCAGAAAGCCACGGCUAACUACGUG